rnacentral:rRNA from 1 species
UAGAUACCCCACUAUGCUUAGCCGUAAACAAUGAUGGAAUCUUACAAACACCAUCCGCCAGGGGAUUACGAGCAAAGCUUAAAACCCAAAGGACUUGGCGGUGUCUCAAACCCACCUAGAGGAGCCUGUCCUAUAACCGAUAAUCCACGAUUAACCUCACCCUUCCUUGUAAAAUCAGCCUAUAUACCACCGUCGCCAGCUUACCUCAUGAGAGACCAAAAGUAAGCUAAAAGGGCACAGCCCAGAACGUCAGGUCGAGGUGUAGCCGAUGGAAGGUGGAAGAGAUGGGCUACAUUUUCUGAAACAGAAUAUCACGAAAGGCGUUAUGAAAAAAACGCAAUUGAAGGUGGAUCUAGCAGUAUCAUGACCGUGCAAAGGUAGCG